rfam:Fragilariopsis cylindrus CCMP1102 unplaced genomic scaffold FRACYscaffold_6, whole genome shotgun sequence.
GUGCGCAUGAUCCAAUUUGGUAAUUGGUACAGGCUUCAAACCUGUAGACGGCUAACGCCGUAGUUGUUCGAUUCAACCUUGCGCAC